rnacentral:misc_RNA from 1 species
GAGUAUCUCUGACAAGUUACUCAAGGAAUUACAAUCUCCUCAAUCUCCUAAUGGGCCCACCAAUACAAUUAUUCCUGUUGCACAUUCAGUUUUCAAACCAGCGAUCGAUAAAAACGAAACAUCUGACACUUUAGCAACUCAAGAUGGUUCAAACGGUAAAAGUUUAACAGAAGACGAAGGGGAGUGGGCCCUUAAGUCCAAAGGAGUCCUUCCGAUAAAAAAAAAUCAAAACCAGACCAAAGACACACAGGGUCCUGAAAAUUUCGAAGUCAAACUUUGGGUCAAAGACUUUGCCUACAGGAAAUCCGGAACGUCGCCCGAAAAGAGCAUGCGCGAAAAAUAGAUCAAUUUUGGCGAACUUACUGAGUUUUGAGGACGAAAUUCUUGAUUCAGAAGAAGAGAGUAAUGAGAAGAUGGAAGAGGAUCAAAGCAUGAAGACAGAAGAUGGCUUCAAGUGGCCAAACAGUUGUAUUUCAAAAUUGUUUGCAACAGAAUUAACAAUCAAGUCACCAACACGUUCUUGUGACAAUUUUCAAAACGGAUCGGAGUCGGGAUUCAUUGGAGAAAAGAACCAAGCCGUACUAAACGGUGAAAACCCAUCAAACUUAAACAAAUUCUGUAGUGAAAACCUUUCGAGGAGUAUGGAAUCCGGUUAUGAAGAACUAACAAACAAAAUCGUGUUAACGCCCACUUCCAGUGACACAGAGAAUGAUGAGGAACUCUGGGACAAAUGUGUUAAUUCUGCUUUCUCACUGUUUGAGGAUUAUGGCGUAUCCCUUACUGGAGAUGGUGAAGCCAAACUUAACUCGUUUUCAGCAUAAGAUCAUUUACUAAUUUAUAAAAGAAAUGAGAAACUUUAGUGGUAUAUACAGGUAAAACUUAAAAUGGCAGUGUGUUUAGUCACAUGUAAACCCAUCAUUAAAUCGAAUGUGGACCGAUUCGUUUUGACUACUCGCAUAACAGGAACCUUUCGAGUCUAUCCAAAUGAAGAUUUUUUCCUGUGUUUCUUAUCAAUAUCGUUUUUUUAAAAUUUCUAUUUACUGCUAAAUUUCAAAUAAUAGAUAAGAAUAGAUUAUCUUCAAUAUUAUCUAAAAGGUUCAUAGACUUGUUCCAUGUACAUUCACACUUACAAUACUCACUUGAAAUAUGUUUGUCAUUAAUACAUCAUGUUGUGUUUAUGUCGUUCAUCAAUCACUAUUUAUUUAACUGUAUUAUACCGCAAAUGUACACGUUGCGUAAUUCUUAAUGGAAUGCAGCGCAUAUUGCUUUGACUGAUAUACUAUUUUUCAUCUUGAAAAAAUCGUGGUAGAUCCCAAUAAAAGCUACCCUGUCUCCUGC